rnacentral:lncRNA from 1 species
CUCAAAUCCUUCUUGGGGGUCAGCAAGAAGAGUCUUACAGAUGACAAAGAAGAAAAUAGGAGUCAAUGAGACACACAAUGGGAGCCCUGCUGGCUGAAUUCCUGGUGGUUUUGAUGCCUGGUUCACAGCCUUGGCUCGUGAGGUGCUGCAACAGGGAGGCUGAUCUCCAGCCCCAUAAACCUUCGAAGCUAACCUUGCAGCUGCAUCCUGCUAGGCUCUCCCACACAGAAUUCUUCUUUCUGGCCCAGAUGCUGCUGCAGUGUC